rnacentral:precursor_RNA from 14 species
GUGGUUUUCGUGCGGCCCAGUCACUAGUUAAUUGUACUUCAUCAGGUGCUCUGGAGUUCGGUUCGCACAACCAGGCAUCUUUUGGAGUGCAAAUGAUAAGUGGCACGAAUACGUCCAGACCAUCG